AUAUAAGCAAUGAUGAAGAGUAGUACUAAACAUUUUAGUUUUUAGAGAGUUUGUGGUUGGUGGGAACAGACAACUAACGUUUAGGAAUGGACUUCUGAGCUUCAUGGCUGAACAAAAAUAGUAGGCCGUGACGUGUCCUUACGUUACAAGGUUAAGUGAUUUCUGCAUUUUUUUGUGUGAAAUAAUAAGGGUGGUACCACGGUCCAUUCGUCCCUUUU
rnacentral:ncRNA from 1 species